UGCUAGGGAUUCCAUGGUGUCAUUCAAGAGU
rnacentral:piRNA from 1 species